rnacentral:vault_RNA from 1 species
GCUUUGAUUUACUCCAGAGGUUACUUCUAACUCAAAAUUUGCAAUUUGACGUUAAUUUCACGCAAGGGAUCGAACCUCGGGCGCCGUCCAGUGUUUUA